rnacentral:rRNA from 1 species
UGGCUGCAGUCGAGGAUCUUCGGCAAUGGGCGCAAGCCUGACCGAGCGACGCCGCGUGCGGGAUGAAGGCCUUCGGGUUGUAAACCGCUGUCGUAGAGGAGGAAAUGCAGGGGGGUUCUCCCUUCUGUUUGACCUAUUCUAGGAGGAAGUACGGGCUAAGUUCGUGCCAGCAGCCGCGGUAAGACGAACCGUACAAACGUUACUCGGAAUUACUGGGCUUAAAGGGUGCGUAGGCUGCGCGGAAAGUUGGGUGUGAAAGCCCUCGGCUCAACCGAGGAAUUGCACUCAAAACUACCGUGCUUGAGGGAGACAGAGGUAAGCGGAACUCAAGGUGGAGCGGUGAAAUGCGUUGAUAUCUUGAGGAACACCGGUGGCGAAGGCGGCUUACUGGGUCUUUUCUGACGCUGAGGCACGAAAGCUAAGGUAGCAAACGGGAUUAGAUACCCCGGUAGUCUUAGCUGUAAACGAUGAGCACUUGAUUGGAGGGUCCUCCAUAGCCUUCCAGUCGUAGCGAAAGUGUUAAGUGCUCCGCCUGGGGAGUAUGGUCGCAAGGCUGAAACUCAAAGAAAUUGACGGGGGCUCACA